GUGGCGGAGCUAAUUUACAGUCACUUCACGGACUCCACGCUGCACGAGACCACGCUGUUUGCUGUUCCAGUCGACGUCAUCGUCAUCUACGCUACCGCACAAGAUGACUGAGUGUUCUCCAAUCGAUCCUGAUUCACAAGAUCUCUUCUCUGACAAUGAGGAAGAUAUCAACGAACCAGGACCUUCUACUGCGAUCACAAAUGCUCCUAAAAAACGGAAGCCCGUCGCAGAAGAAAUUGAUUAGGAGAAUAUUCCAUCUGCACAACAAGCUAAAAAGGUAAAAUUCAAUGAAAAAUGGACAACCGAAUUUAAAAAUUUCAUAAUAAGCCUACUCAUGGAAAUAUGUAUAGGUCUUGAUAAAAAUGCAUUUCAAGAAAAGUUCCAAACAUUUUUUCUAACUUUACCAAAAAACUUGAAGUCAACAUUCUGGUUCAUUUAUCGUGUUUUGAUGACAGAUUCAGACGAAAAAUUAAUGAAUGCUGUAAUGCGAAAUCAAGCCUUGAUUUUACGCACCAUGUAUUCGAUGGAGAUUCCUUCCAAAGAAAUCAAACAAGCUUUAUUAGCUUUACAAAAUCACUUUUCAACAGCAGGUCAAGACGAGACAGAUUAUGGUACAUCUGCUUUGAAGACGCCGCCAGGCCACAUGUCCACAUUGUCCACAACUGUAACAGAGCCUACGGAACAUGUCGAUGCCUCUAUGGGCGACAAUUCGUGGCUCAAUUGGGAAGACCCAAAUUUGUCACGGUUGCAAAAGGAAGUGACACCGAAAAAAGAACAAAUCUCUUCCUCUAUCUUAGUAAUGAACACAAAGCAGAACACGCAAUAUACUUGGAGAGAGGAAUUAACGACACCGUUUCACUUCACAUUACAGCUUCACGAUGCGACGAAAAUGGCCAAACUAACCAAACAGAGACAGUCGACAGCAAAAAUACGGGACAUUCGGAUGUAUUGCGAUCCGAACGACCCGACGGACACACUGGGCCAAGCAAUCAAACAAAUAGUCUCGCACUCCCAAUCGACAUUACAGCAUUUAUUAAAUACGAACAAAGAGAACAUGGAAGUCGUACAAAAGUUUUCAAGAAUUGGUACAGUUAAUUUGUGAAAACUUAUGUUAUCCAUUGAAUAAAAUCCAAUUUACCAAUAUAUGGUUGAAUGAACCUACUUUAUGUACUCUUAGUGAACAAUUAUUAUCAAAUGUUAUUACUCAUAUACAAAUACUAACCAUGAAAAUGAAUGUACAAGAAAUUUAUAAUUUUAUUUUAAAAGCUAAAACUGUAUACUUUGAAGCUCAUUCAUGUGACUUUCUUGAAUUUUACUUUACUAGAACUGAAUCAUAUAAUUUAAUGUAUGAACUACUUGAAUAUCAAUUUAAUGAAGAUUAUGAUAGAAUAGCUGAAUUCAUUGUAAACCUGUUUAAUAUAAUAAACCGUACAAAUGGUAAAAAAAAUUGUUUGUCAAUUGUUGGACCUCCAAACAGUUUCAAAUCAACUUUUGUACCAGUGUGUUCUAGUGCAAUGAUAAACGCUGGUUGGUGUAACAAAAAUAACAAAUUUGUAAAUUAUGGAUUACAAGAAUGUGCUUAUAGACGAUUGAUUGUAAUGGAUGAUCCUAAUUUUGAUAUUGUUAGCUAUGAAACAUUAAAAUGUUUAUUUAGUGGAAAUAACAUUAAUAUUCAAGUUAAGUACAAAUCCGACUUUGUAUUAACAAAAACACCUGUACUUUUAUGUGCAAAUACUGAAAUGUUCAGAGGACCUGUAUGGGAUGAACGUAUU